CCGGGCGCCAGCCAAUCAGCAGCGAGCCGCUCCGGUGACGUCGCCGAGCUCCCCGAGAAAUUUAUGUAUGUGAUUGACAAUCACCUUCUGCCCUGUUUUUGUUUACUUAAAAAUGAAACCAGUGAUUGAAGGAUGCUACACAAAAGGAAUAACAGAUGCUGUUCAACCUGCUGUGUUUCUCCAGCAGACUGUUGUUACUCCAUUAAUAUUACACCACUUAUGGCAGGACACCAGUCAAAUUCCUGUGGACAUUUUGAUAUUCUGAUGGCUUAAUGGAUCAUUAUCUCUCCUGGAAAUAUGUAGUCUCUAUGAUAACAUCUCAUUUAUGGCAGCAGAUGGAUCUUGAUGAUUGUCCUCGUUAAUUUCAGUCUAAGGAAAUUCAACAAAACUUUCUAGCCCUAAUUUCUGUCUAGUGGUUCUUAAUCAUCAAAUGAAGACACAAUCGGGCUCUGCUACAAUGCCUGUUGUUUUCAACUGCCUGCUUAAAACUUAAAUUUCAGGAGACUCAUCAUCGUUUUCAUUUCAACCAUCCGUAUCCUUUCACUAAACAUAUGAUCGUUAAGAACGUUUAAACUUCUUGAAACAAUUGCAAUGAAAUGCAUGAUGGAGAUGGCUGGAUCCAGCUCCAAACUGUUUUCAGUUGUUGAUUUGUGGUCUUACUGAGUCUUCCAGGAUCAGUGUACAAAAUAACAUAGCAUCCAAGUCACUUCACUCACUGAAAGGACAAUCAGAAUCUGGGUCACUGCUUCUCAGUGGCUCAUUAGAAACGGGGUUCAAGAUUCAAACUCAGGAGUAACUCAAGAACCAUAAUGGCCAUGUGGCCAAAUUUCCAAGCCUAAGUCAGGAUUUCUGCCACUGCAAAACUAUACUAAUUCAUUGUUUGGAAAUCUCAAGAAUUCAGAAUCUGGAUCACUGGGUAAUAUUUCCUGCACUUUUUCAAAUGCACUACCGCCCUGUUUUCUGCAUGCCUUUUAAACACCAAUGUCCCAGUACUCCCUUUGAAUUAGUUGGGCCCCUUUUGUCAAGCUUCCUUUAUCUGUCAUUGAUGCCCCGCUUCGCAUGCUCCUUUAAGCUCAUAGGACCCUGUUUCCCAUGCUCCCUUUAAGCAUAUCAGGGCCGUUUUCCCCCGGUUGUUCCUUUAAGCUUACUAGGUUCACUGGAUAAUACAUUGCAGUGUAAAAUCUAAAAGUGACUCUACCUUCUUAGAAGUUUGCAAAGAUUCAGCAUGUAAUCUUAAACUUUGACAAGCUUCUACAGAUGUGUAGUGAAGAGUAUAUUGACAGGUUGCAUCAGGGCAUGGUAUAGAAACACCAAUGCCCUUGAAUGAAAAAGCCUAAAAACAGGGGAUACAGUCCAGUCCAUCACGGGUAAAGUCCUCCCCACCAUUCAACACAUCUACAUGGAAUAUAGUCGCAGGAAAGCGGCAUCCAUCAUCAGGGACCUUCAUCAUCCAGGCCAUGCUUUCUUCUCACUACUGCCAUCAGGAAAGAGGUACUGGAGCCUGGGGACCCACACCACAACAUUCAGGAACAGUUAUUACCACUCAACCAUCAGGUUCUUGAACCAGACGAUAUAACUUAACUCUCCCUAUCACUGAACCCUUCCCACAAACUAUGGACUCACUUUCAAGGAAGGACUCUUCAUCUCAUGUUCUUGAUAGUUAUUGCUUAUUUAUUAUAUUAUUAUUUCUUUUUACUCUCUUAUGUAUUUGCACAUUGGUUGUCUAUCCCUCCUGUUGGGUGCUAUCUUUCCUUGAUUCUAUUGUGUAUCUUGUAUUUACAGUGAAUGCCUGCAAGAAAAUAAACCUCAAGGUUGUGCUGUAUAUGGUGACAUAUAUGUACUUUGAUAAUAAAUUUAUUUUGAACUUUGAAGAAGUGUAAAUAGUGCAUCAGUGUAUUAAUAGGAGUGAUAUCAAACCUGAUGGUUGAGUGGUUGAGUCCACAA